rnacentral:misc_RNA from 1 species
GAUGAAGAACGCAGCGAAAUGCGAUAAGUAAUGUGAAUUGCAGAAUUCAGUGAAUCAUCGAGUCUUUGAACGCACAUUGCGCCCCCUGGUAUUCCGGGGGGCAUGCCUGUCCGAGCGUCAUUGCUGCCCUCAAGCACGGCUUGUGUGUUGGGCCUCCGUCCUCCUCCCGGGGGACGGGCCCGAAAGGCAGCGGCGGCACCGCGUCCGGUCCUCGAGCGUAUGGGGCUUCGUCACCCGCUCUUGUAGGCCCGGCCGGCGCUUGCCGACACAUCAAUCUUUUUUCCAGGUUGACCUCGGAUCAGGUAGGGAUACCCGCUGAACUCAAGCAUAUCAAUAAGCGGAGGA